UCUGAAAACACACACCGAACAUAUAGUGCCAGUACUAUCUGAUAGAUCAGUUACAUACCUGUAGGGAUGACACUAAGUUAUCUGGGCAGUCAAGCCCAGUAAGUCCAGAUUCUGGAAAAAAAGAAAAACAGAUGGGGAAACAGCUUUUUACUUCACUUCGAAACUGUCUCAAAAAUCCGCACAAAAGAGCCUUGGGAAUGACGCGAAUUUACCCCAACCCCCACAGAAGAUCCACGAUAUCAUUUGUUAUCUUGAGAUAGAUAACUGAUAGCGAAACAGAUCCCAUGGACUUGGACGAGGAAUAUUCUAUUCCCUAUGGUAUACGCUAGUGUGUUAUGGUGGAACAAGACUUACGCAUUCUGGGAUCAAUCCAUGAAGUCGUUCGAUCAAUGUGAUUUAUAAAAUAUAUAUCUCCGGAAUCAGUAACUGCCUGUUCCCAACCAUCCGGCAGUGGACCCAAGCUGUUAGCAAUAGUCGAUGUGGUAGUUUGUUUUGUAG